CGCGUAGGUGGUCUGUCAAGUCGAGGGUGAAAUCUUUCGGCUCAACCGGAAAACUGCCUUCGAUACUGACAGGCUCGAGGGAGAUAGGGGUUGCGGGAACUACCAGUGGAGCGGUGAAAUGCGUUGAUAUUGGUAGGAACGCCGGUGGCGAAAGCGCGCAACUGGAUCUCUUCUGACACUGAUGUGCGAAAGCUAGGGAGCAAACG
rnacentral:rRNA from 1 species